CGGCAACCUCGGGAACAGGGCACGGAGGUGCUGCCUCGACAUUUCUCAUUUUUAUGUCUUCACACCCACACCUUGUUAUAUAACAUACAAAUACAUGUUCAUUUCGUGAGAAUUGUUACGUAACACACAAAUACACACAAACCCAGUGAGACUCGUGAAAGGCCUGCUCUCCGCCAUCUCCACCAUCAUGGCUGACAGACAAGCGGAGGGUGGGGAUGCUCGGUCUGCCUCAGAAACUCCCCCUCUCCAAACUUCUCAGCUUCCCAUGGGUGGCCUUGAACUCACGACAAGCACUGUUCAUCAAGCAUCAGAAAGAAGAGAUGACAGCAGGAAGAGUAGAACACACUUCCUUAAUCCUUCAAAAGUGAGCUUUUGAAGAAAGCCAGCUCCAUGGUUGACGUUCCUUCCGAUAUGACAUGUACCGUGGAAGGAAAAUAAAACCACAUACAGACAAAUAUCUGUACCUUUGACAUUUAUUCAACUCUAAAGUUUAAGGGGAUUUUUCUUCUCAUUCUAUGUACUACAAUGGUAUAAUCAAACAUGGGUGAGGAUUUUUCCCUUACUGUGUGUAUUGUAGGUGUCUGUAUCUGAGAACUAACAAUAGCUUCCAGCCACAUAUUAAAAAAACACCAUGAAUCAUUGUGGCCAGACAUCCUCAGAACCAGACCAGGAAAAUAACAGUCCUGUGCCUGGGGCCUGUCUGAGGAGGGGAGGAAGGAGUUCUUAGUCUUCAGGGAGGGCAUCCCUGAGUCAUACCAACCCCAACAGAGAUUGCAGCAUUAAGGUCUUUGCUAAACAGCAGCCAGGGUAAAUAUGGAGAGUAUAAACCUUGGAAAGGAUGGAGAGUCAAUAGGGAAACCUAGCAUUCUGAGCCACACUGGAAUUCCCAUUCACCAACACAGCUGCUUGCCUGCCUGCCUGCCGCCGGCUUUCUACACAAGGCAGAUGCAGGCCAUAGAAGAUGAGGAACUGACAAGCAAUCCUGGUCAUGUGGGUGUAGCAAGAGUGAAUACCUUUUCC
rnacentral:lncRNA from 1 species